GUCGGCCUAGCGGUUAGAGCGUCCGCCUCAAAUGCGGGAGGUCGUGGGUUCAAUUCGCUUUCUAGUCA